rnacentral:rRNA from 1 species
UACGUAGGUGGCAAGCGUUGUCCGGAAUUAUUGGGCGUAAAGAGCUCGUAGGCGGUUUGUCGCGUCUGCUGUGAAAACUCGGGGCUUAACCCCGGGCCUGCAGUGGGUACGGGCAGACUAGAGUGCGGUAGGGGAGACUGGAAUUCCUGGUGUAGCGGUGAAAUGCGCAGAUAUCAGGAGGAACACCGAUGGCGAAGGCAGGUCUCUGGGCAUUAACUGACGCUGAGGAGCGAAAGCAUGGGGAGCGAACAGG